ACCCCCCAAGCUGGCUCUUGGAGCCGCCUCGUGCUCCUGAGAUGGAAAAGUCCCAGAAAAUCAAUUAAGGCAGGAAGCCUCGCAAAUGCAGAAUCUCCGUGGUGCUGAUCAGUUCCACGAGGUCUCCUCCCUAAUUGGGACCCCUCAGAAUGAAUUUCCUCCUCCCUUCUAAGCGUGCAGAUGGCAUUGAUCCGAGCCGGAGCUCAUGGGUGAGCCACAGGAAACCGAUUCAUUUGGAUUAUUAUUUGAUGAGCAGAACAAGAUGCGCCCUGUGAGCGUGACUCACGGAGGCUGCAUCUUGCAUCUGGCAGAGGUGGGGGGGUGCAGUGGAGGCCGGGAAGGGCAACGAGCAUGGAGGGUGCAUGCCAGUCUGGGGCUGUGCACCAGGAAGUGUUUGGGCCUGGAACUGAUGCCAGCAUGGAGCUACCCCAGCUACCUCUGCCAGCUUCACCCAUCCAGACCCUCUCCACCGCCACUAGACCAGGCCUCAGAGAGUUGUCUUGGACCCGGAAGCAUGUAACCUGCAUCCCCUGGAGCUGGGAGAGGUGUGACGCUGCUCCACCACAGGUGUCCGACUUGCAUGUGAGCAUGUGCAGAACAGGUAAUUGGCCAUGCCCAGCCCCUCCCUGCAGCCCAGGGGUUACUUUUCUCAUGCCUGCAGAUGCUAGUUUGUAUAUGCCACUGGGAGUUGGCACUGGAGUCUCUCACAUUACUGAUGGCAGAGGAAUGAGCUGAGGAAUGUGUCCCUGUCCCAUGUCUCUCUGCAAGGUGCUUUUUCUGGUUUCCUC
rnacentral:lncRNA from 1 species